GUCCAGCCACAAGCACUCAAGACAGGUAAAGAGGCAGUUUCCCCCUGCCUGAGAGUUUUGGUGAACCAGCCAGAAGAAUCACUGGCUGGAAAACUCCUUUCUCCUUGGGACUGCUGCAGAUGAAAAGAUCCUGGAACGUCUGACAGAAGCUGCCAGGAGGUCGGGCACAAACCAAACACCCUCUUAUGCCAGUUUACCAAACCCUGGCCUCAUUAACUAAUCAAUCUGACUGUUGGUUAUGUCAACAUCUAAAGAGUUCUUAUGUCAACAGCAAAAGACCCUGAAUGGUCUUCAUUCCUGCCGGUGUGAACACCUCGUGGACUAAGCUCGGAAGAUGUGUGAGCAACAGGGUGUGGUAUCCACAAGAUAACAUCACUCUACCUCUUCUCCUGCCACCAGUUCAGCUUUCAAUAUGUGAAACUUUUAAGGAAGUUUCAGAGAAGAAAACUGUUGGGGGGGCUGGCCCCGUGGCUGAGUGGUUAAAUUUGUGCGCUCUGCUGCAGGCGGCCCAGUGUUUCGUCAGUUCGAAUCCUGGGCGCGGACAUGGCACUGCUCAUCAAACCACGCUGAGGCAGCGUCCCACAUGCCACAACUAGAAGGACCCACAACGAAGAAUAUACAACUAUGUACUGGGGGGCUUUGGGGAGAGAAAGGAAAAAAAUAAAAUCUUAAAAACAACAACAACAACAACAAAAAACUGUUGGGGUCCAGGGCAGGCUGCCCCCAAAUAUCUCACAAUGACAAAUUAUUUUGAAUUGAAGAUAUGUGAGAAGCAGCCAGUGCAAAAAGGGCCCUUCUAUCCUUUCUGUUCCCCCCGAAAGCAGGAAGUCAAUCUCCCAUAUGAAGUGUACCCUCCCUACACCAGGAAAUCGGGAGACAUCCUUAUCACCAGAGUGGGGAAUUCAGGGCCAAGAAGCCCAUAUAAACAACCGUGGUGCUUUUUUACAACCCCAAGUCCAAACUCUGCUUAGAUUCC
rnacentral:lncRNA from 1 species